UGGGGAAUUUUGGACAAUGGACGCAAGUCUGAUCCAGCCAUGCCGCGUGCGGGAAGAAGGCCUUCGGGUUGUAAACCGCUUUUGUCAGGGAAGAAACGAGUUUCUCUAAUACAGAGACUUAAUGACGGUACCUGAAGAAUAAGCACCGGCUAACUACGUGCCAGCAGCCGCGGUAAUACGUAGGGUGCAAGCGUUAAUCGGAAUUACUGGGCGUAAAGCGUGCGCAGGCGGUUAUGCAAGACAGAUGUGAAAUCCCCGGGCUCAACCUGGGACCUGCAUGUGUGACUGUAUAGCUGGAGUACGGUAGAGGGGGAUGGAAUUCCGCGUGUAGCAGUGAAAUGCGUAGAUAUGCGGAGGAACACCGAUGGCGAAGGCAAUCCCCUGGGCCUGUACUGACGCUCAGGCACGAAAGCGUGGGGAGCAAAAA
rnacentral:rRNA from 1 species